rnacentral:rRNA from 1 species
GAUGAACGCUGGCGGCGUGCCUAAUACAUGCAAGUCGAGCGAAUGGAUUAAGAGCUUGCUCUUAUGAAGUUAGCGGCGGACGGGUGAGUAACACGUGGGUAACCUGCCCAUAAGACUAGGAUAACUCCGGGAAACCGGGGCUAAUACCGGAUAACAUUCUGAACCGCAUGGUUCGAAAUUGAAAGGCGGCUUCGGCUGUCACUUAUGGAUGGACCCGCGUCGCAUUAGCUAGUUGGUGAGGUAACGGCUCACCAAGGCAACGAUGCGUAGCCGACCUGAGAGGGUGAUCGGCCACACUGGGACUGAGACACGGCCCAGACUCCUACGGGAGGCAGCAGUAGGGAAUCUUCCGCAAUGGACGAAAGUCUGACGGAGCAACGCCGCGUGAGUGAUGAAGGCUUUCGGGUCGUAAAACUCUGUUGUUAGGGAAGAACAAGUGCUAGUUGAAUAAGCUGGCACCUUGACGGUACCUAACCAGAAAGCCACGGCUAACUACGUGCCAGCAGCCGCAGUAA